ACCCGCUGAAUUUAAGCAUAUAAGUAAGUGGUGGAAAUUAAACCAAAUGGGAUAUCUUUAGUAAUUGCGAAUGAACAAGGAUAUGCUUAGCUUGACAAAUGGAGCUAUUGGCUUUGAAUUGUAUUGUGGAAAUGUAUUACCAACAGAGGUGCAGGUGCCAGCCUAUUGAAAUAAAGCGUCAAUGAGGGUGAGAAUCCUGUUUGUCAUGUGCAGCCCUUUGUGCACGGUGUAUAUUUGCUGAGUCACACUCCUUGGCAUUGGAAUGCAAAGUGGGUGGUAAGUUUCAUGUAAAGGUAAACAUGCAAUUGAGACUGAUAGCACACAAGUACCAUGAGGGAAAUAUGAAAAGGACUUUGAAAAGAGAAUUAAAUGAGUUUGUAUUUGCUGAACACAAAGUAAACAGACUUGAUUUGCUUGGUGGGAGUGUUGCACUUGCUUGACAAGAGCUUUGGGCUGUGGGUGUAAUGAUUCUUUCUUUGCAUGCCAGUUUCUAUUUGUACAUCUGAUUACCUUUGCACAUGAAUGAUAAGUCUCCUGUGGGGGGUGGAUUGCAUGUGCAUGUAAUGAUUUGUGUUUUGAUAAAUGUGUCUGGUGUAUGUGUGUGUUCCUGUGCUUGGGGAUGCUUCCUUCCUUGGACUUACAAGCCCUGACACACACAUGCUGGCAAAAUGCUUCUGCUUGACCCGUCUUGAAACACGGACCAAGG
rnacentral:rRNA from 1 species